rnacentral:rRNA from 1 species
GACGAACGCUGGCGGCGUGCCUAAUACAUGCAAGUCGAGCGCAGGAAACUGACGGAACUCUUCGGAGGGAAGGCAGUGGAAUGAGCGGCGGACGGGUGAGUAACACGUAAGGAACCUGCCUCAAGGAUUGGGAUAACUCCGAGAAAUCGGAGCUAAUACCGGAUAGUUCAUCGGACCGCAUGGUCCGUUGAUGAAAGGCGCUCCGGCGUCACCUUGAGAUGGCCUUGCGGUGCAUUAGCUAGUUGGUGGGGUAACGGCCCACCAAGGCGACGCUGCAUAGCCGACCUGAGAGGGUGAUCGGCCACACUGGGACUGAGACACGGCCCAGACUCCUACGGGAGGCAGCAGUAGGGAAUCUUCCACAAUGGACGAAAGUCUGAUGGAGCAACGCCGCGUGAGUGAUGAAGGUUUUCGGAUCGUAAAACUCUGUUGUAAGGGAAGAACACGUACGAGAGGGAAUGCUCGUACCUUGACGGUACCUUACGAGAAAGCCACGGCUAACUACGUGCCAGCAGCCGCCGUAACAC